CCUACGGGAGGCAGCAGUGAGGAAUUUUCCGCAAUGGGCUAACGCCUGACGGAGCAAUGCCGCGUGGAGGAGGAAGGCCUGUGGGUCGUAAACUCCUUUUCUCAGAGAAGAAGAUCUGACGGUAUCUGAGGAAUAAGCAUCGGCUAACUCUGUGCCAGCAGCCGCGGUAAUACAGGGGAUGCAAGCGUUAUCCGGAAUUAUUGGGCGUAAAGCGUCCUGAGGUGGCUUACCCAGUCGACUGUGAAAGCUCAAGGCUCAACCUUGAAACGGCAGUCGAAACUUGUAAGCUUGAGUACGGUAGAGGCAGAGGGAAUUCCCGGAGGAGAGGUGAAAUUCGUAGAUAUCGGGAGGAAGGCCAAAGGCGAAAGCACUCUGCUGGGCCGAUUACUGACACUGACAGACGAAAGCUAGGGGAGCGAAAGGGAUUAGAUACCCCUGUAGUCCUAGCCGUAAACGAUGGAUACUAAGUGUUGCGCGACUCAACUCGUGCAGUGCUGCAGCUACGACGGUAGUACGUCCGCCGUCGGGAGUAGUGCGUCGCGAGAGUAGAAACGUUAAAGUAGUAAGUUAGUACGGCGUGAGACGUGACCGACGGACGACGACGAGGGAGGUUAGG
rnacentral:rRNA from 1 species